rnacentral:misc_RNA from 1 species
AAUUGGUUAUAACUAAAACCAAUUAUGGUACUUGAAACAAAUUCCACAUAACUCAUAACAAUAUUUUUAUGGACUAAAAUGUCCAUAUCAAACAAUUUUUUCUCAAUCUUAACUUUGAAACUUUGACCACCAAUGUGGUCAACAAGAAUUUGUUACAUCCAGCAAAUACCAUUAAUUAAUUAAAAAAAAUUAGAAGUGAUCUAAU